rnacentral:rRNA from 1 species
GAGGCCUAACACAUGCAAGUCGAACGGGAUUCAGUAGCUUGCUACUGAUGAGAGUGGCGCACGGGUGAGUAACGCGUAUGCAACCUACCUCUUACAGGGGGAUAGCCCGGAGAAAUCCGGAUUAAUAUCCCAUGGUAUUUAUUGUCCGCAUGGAUAGUAAAUUAAAGAUUUAUCGGUAAGAGAUGGGCAUGCGUGACAUUAGUUUGUUGGUGAGGUAACGGCUCACCAAGACUACGAUGUCUAGGGGUUCUGAGAGGAUGAUCCCCCACACUGGUACUGAGACACGGACCAGACUCCUACGGGAGGCAGCAGUGAGGAAUAUUGGUCAAUGGGCGCAAGCCUGAACCAGCCAUCCCGCGUGAAGGAAGACGGCCCUAUGGGUUGUAAACUUCUUUUCUGCACCAAGAAUGGGCCUUACGUGUAAGGUUUUGACGGUAGUGCAGGAAUAAGCAUCGGCUAACUCCGUGCCAGCAGCCGCGGUAAUACGGAGGAUGCAAGCGUUAUCCGGAUUCAUUGGGUUUAAAGGGUGCGUAGGCGGAUAGGUAAGUCAGUGGUGAAAUCCUACAGCUCAACUGUAGAACUGCCAUUGAUACUGUCUAUCUUGAGUGUAAAUGAAGUGGGCGGAAUGUAGCAUGUAGCGGUGAAAUGCAUAGAUAUGCUACAGAACACCAAUUGCGAAGGCAGCUCACUAACAUACAACUGACGCUCAUGCACGAAAGCGUGGGGAUCAAACAGGAUUAGAUACCCUGGUAGUCCACGCUGUAAACGAUGAUUACUCGUUGUUGGCGAUACACAGUCAGCGACCAAGCGAAAGUGAUAAGUAAUCCACCUGGGGAGUACGAUCGCAAGGUUGAAACUCAAAGGAAUUGACGGGGGCCCGCACAAGCGGUGGAGCAUGUGGUUUAAUUCGAUGAUACGCGAGGAACCUUACCUGGGCUCAAAU